UUAUAUUGUCAAUGUAAUUUGACUGGAACGUUCUUUGGAAAGAACCAACAACGCACAAUUCAAGUGAAACUAUUUUCUUUUGAUUAUUAUCACAAUUGAAUGGAAAAUAGAAUAAAUUUUGUAGACACAACAGCGCUUACACAACGAUUGUACUCGAAACAACAAAGUGUUUGGCGGAAUCAAGACAAAGUACGCGCAAAAGACAUAUUUUUCACACACGCAUCAUUGAACGGAAGAAAAAAACAUUUUGGAACCGUAUUUUGACUGAAUAACCGGAGAAAUGUCGUUUGACAACAACUUUGGAAACGCUUGUAAAAUAAUUGAAGCAACGAGAAAGGUGGCCAAAUCGUACAAUGAGGUUCAUUUUUGGGAGAAUCCAACUGAGAAAACCUUCAACAACAAGCUGUGCAAAGAAUUGGGCAUGACACCAGAUCAAACGAGUGUGAAUAAAAUAUUGAAAGUGGUCGUUGAUUGGAACAUUCACAAAACUCUGAAAGGCCUUUACAGAGGCGAGUUCUCCACCAUUUUCCCUUCUCGUAAAUGAAUUCGAGAUGUUGAACAACCGUAAUAUUCAAUUGUCUCUUUUUCAUAUCUUUUUUUUCGAAUGAUUUAUUAUUAUAAUGAAA